rnacentral:rRNA from 1 species
GUGGGGAAUUUUGGACAAUGGGCGAAAGCCUGAUCCAGCCAUGCCGCGUGCAGGAUGAAGGCCUUCGGGUUGUAAACUGCUUUUGUACGGAACGAAAAGACUCCUUCUAAUAAAGGGGGUCCAUGACGGUACCGUAAGAAUAAGCACCGGCUAACUACGUGCCAGCAGCCGCGGUAAUACGUAGGGUGCAAGCGUUAAUCGGAAUUACUGGGCGUAAAGCGUGCGCAGGCGGUUAUAUAAGACAGAUGUGAAAUCCCCGGGCUCAACCUGGGAACUGCAUUUGUGACUGCAUAGCUAGAGUACGGUAGAGGGGGAUGGAAUUCCGCGUGUAGCAGUGAAAUGCGUAGAUAUGCGGAGGAACACCGAUGGCGAAGGCAAUCCCCUGGACCUGUACUGACGCUCAUGCACGAAAGCGUGGGGAGCAAACAGGAUUAGAUACCCGUGUAGUCC